ACUCCUACGGGAGGCAGCAGUGGGGAAUUUUGGACAAUGGGCGCAAGCCUGAUCCAGCAAUGCCGCGUGAGUGAAGAAGGCCUUCGGGUUGUAAAGCUCUUUCAGUUGAAAAGAAAAAGUCGUGACUAAUAAUCAUGGCUCAUGACGGUAUCAACAGGAGAAGCACCGGCUAACUACGUGCCAGCAGCCGCGGUAAUACGUAGGGUGCAAGCGUUAAUCGGAAUUACUGGGCGUAAAGGGUGCGCAGGCGGUUCUGUAAGACAGAUGUGAAAUCUCCGGGCUUAACCUGGGAACUGCGUUUGAAACUGCAGAGCUAGAGUGCGGCAGAGGGAGGUGGAAUUCCAUGUGUAGCAGUGAAAUGCGUAGAGAUAUGGAAGAACAUCGAUGGCGAAGGCAACCUCCUGGGCUAGCACUGACGCUCAUGCACGAAAGCGUGGGGAGCAAACAGGAUUAGAUACCCUGGUAGUCCACGCCCUAAACUAUGUCAACUAGUUGUCGGGUCUUAAUAGACUUGGUAACGUAGCUAACGCGUGAAGUUGACCGCCUGGGGAGUACGGUCGCAAGAUUAAAACUCAAAGGAAUUGACGGGGACCCGCACAAGCGGUGGAUUAUGUGGAUUAAUUCGAUGCAACGCGAAAAACCUUACCUACCCUUGACAUGUCAGAAAAUUUUCAGAGAUGAAUUUGUGCCCGAAAGGGAAUCUGAACACAGGUGCUGCGUGGCUGUCGUCAGCUCGUGUCGUGAGAUGUUGGGUUAAGUCCCGCAACGAGCGCAACCCUUGUCAUUAAUUGCCAUCAUUAAGUUGGGCACUUUAAUGAGACUGCCGGUGAUAAACCGGAGGAAGGUGGGGAUGACGUCAAGUCCUCAUGGCCCUUAUGGGUAGGGCUUCACACGUAAUACAAUGGCG
rnacentral:rRNA from 1 species